CAGCCGCCACGGUAAUACGAAGGGUGCAAGCGUUAAUCGGAAUUACUGGGCGUAAAGCGUGCGUAGGCGGUUUGUUAAGUCUGUUGUGAAAUCCCCGGGCUCAACCUGGGAAUGGCAAUGGAUACUGGCAAGCUAGAGUGUGUCAGAGGAUGGUGGAAUUCCCGGUGUAGCGGUGAAAUGCGUAGAGAUCGGGAGGAACAUCAGUGGCGAAGGCGGCCAUCUGGGACAACACUGACGCUGAGGCACGAAAGCGUGGGGAGCAAACAGGAUUAGAUACCCGGGUAGUCCCUGUCUCUUAUAC
rnacentral:rRNA from 1 species